CUUUGGGGUAGUCUUUCCCCAGAUGAACACAACCUGGGGCAGCCCGGGGAUGUCUGAGCCACCAGCUCUGCCUUCUCCUUUCUGUGCCCUGGGGAAGCCGAGACUUAGGGUUAAUAGAGACGUAGCAGAGAGGUAAACACACCGGCUGAUAAAAUGGAAAAAUAUACAUCUAAGAAAAGGAUACGCAUAUGUAAGAGAUGUCCUCUGACAUGGUUGUGUGUGUGCAUCAGUGAUGCAGACAAAGUGGAAAAGAACGUCUACCACUCAGAGAACUUCUACCUGUCACCGUGGAGGGUGUCCGCCCGGUCAAAGCAAAAACAAAAACAGAUCUCUACCCCUUCUCAGGACCGAUGCAAAACUGACUUUUUCAGUGGAUAUGAUGACGUAUCUCACCCCCGCUCUUCGGCUGCGCAGAUACAGGAUGACCAGUUUUCUACUUUCUCAGAAAGUGGAGGAUAUUGUGAAGUGUUGAUAUCAAAGCCACCACCGCACAUCACUGCUCUUGGAACUGAGUCCUGUGAGGAAGAGAUUUCCUGUUCUCCAUUCAGAAGCGAAUCUGAAGACCAGGAAUCUUCACAGAGUCAAGAAUCAGAAGAUACUUGCUGGGAAGAGAAGACAGUAGUGCCCCACCUGGUUGCUAAACUCUGUUCUGGGACUGAACCGGUUUGUAAAAGUAAUCAGUUUCUCGGACCUGAAGGAAAUGUGGAUAUUGAGUUGAUUGAUAAGAGUGCAAACAGAUACAGUGUCCACUUCCCCGUGGCCGGCUUCUAUCUGUGGCCAGCAACAGGCCUUGGCUUCCUGGUAACAGCAGCAGUGACCGUGACGAUUACGUUCGAUUCUUGGGGUCGGCACCUGGACCUGAAGUUACAGCAUCACGAGAAGUGGAUGGUGGCCGGCCCUUUAUUUGACAUCUCUGUGGAGCCUGAGGGGGUCAUCACUGAAAUCCACCUCCCCCACGUCAUCUCCCUCCCAGCAAAUGAGGUCGAUAUAUCUUGGUUCCAAGUUGCCCAUUUUAAGGAUGAAGGGAUGGUCCUGGAGCCACCAGCCCGAGUGGAGCCUUUCUAUGCCAUCCUGGAAAACCCUAGCUUCUCUCUGUUGGGGAUCCUGCUGAGACUUGCCAGAGGGACCUGCCUUUCGGUCCCCAUCACAUCCACGGCACUAAUCUAUUAUCACUUCCACCCCGAAGAUGUGAAAUUUCACUUGUAUCUUAUCCCCAGCGACUCCUUGCUAAAGAAGGCAAUAGAUGAGGAGGAAGCUAAAUUUCAAGGUGUGCGUCUGCAGACCUCGCCCCCAGUGGACCCACUGAAUUUUGGUUCCCGUUAUAUUGUGUCUUGUUCGCCUCCCCUGGAAAUAAUACCCAAGGAGUUGAAAUUAUCCUACAGGAACCCUGGAGAAAUCCAGGUCUUCUCUAAAGUCUAUGCUGGGAGGAUGAAGGAACCAAUCAUGCUUGAAAUUACUGAAAAAAGAUACAAGACUUUGAUCUGGUACACUUUGGUGAAGCCAGAGGAGCUCCAGUUUGGUGCUACAUCGGCCCCUCCUCCCCUCCCAGGUCAGUGCAGUGUUUCCACCAAAAGUCUGAUUUCAGGAGAUCUUUGAGUGAUGUCGCUCAAUGUGCGUUCAUACCUUCUCUUCAUUUACAAAGACUAAGUGGUUCCAGAGACAAACACAGAGUCUGAUGCACUUCAGCAAACACAUGAGGCUGUAAUACGCAGACUCUGAGCGUGCAACCACGCUUUUUUGGGAAACCAUUUUGCAUCUGCUGAACUUUAAGUAAGAGUAGUUCGAGGCGGCUGGGGAUCAAACUUUAGAGAGACGGAGCCCACGUGAGACCAGAGGGCCAGGCAAGAAACAGAACUUGUAAGCAUAAGGAUGAUCGUUGAACUCUUUUGGAGCUUAGUCCGAAGGCAAAGGGGGACUUUUGAAGGGUGAGUAACAAGGCACUCACUCUUCGGAACUGUGUGGAUGACUGCGAGUGAGGAAUGAACAGGAAGUGGGAAUUGGCUUAUGAGGCUGUUGUAAAUGUCAAGAUCAGGUGUUAGCUGGGAAUUGGUUCAGGUUAAUGGAGAUGGUAGGUAGCGGGGAAAGAAAUUAUUUAAAAUAAAAUGCCAAAGGGCACCUGGCUGGCUCAGUCGGAGGAGAGUGGGACUCGAUCGCACUAAACUUUUAAAAAGAAAAUAAAGAAAAUAAAAUAAGGAGCCAAGAUUCAGAGGACUCCAUUCUGCCUUCCACGUUGUUGGCCAUGAUUGUCAGGCUCCACACAGUAGAAGUGACGGGCCCCCUUUGUCAAAACAGAUCAUCCAGGAGGAGAAGGAGAGCAUUUUCUGGUGUCUCUCAGGGAGGAGAAGGCUCCUCGGGUAUCGCGUUGGCUUGACAUGGCAACAGACCCAUCCUGGCCGGCGGGUGUUGUCAGGAGGUCCAGAGAGGCAGACUAGCUGGAGAAAAUCAGGCCCCACACCUGGAGUUGCAAUUGGGUUCAAACUCAGCUACAGAUCUUGGUGAAGAAUCAGCUGUGGCCUUUAUGAAGGAGCACCAUCGUCAUCUUCAAGCCAGGAUGGGGAACCUGAAUGGAGUCCUGGAUGA